rnacentral:rRNA from 1 species
AUGAGUCUAUUAAACACUUAUUUUUUGAGUGUAAGUUUCGCUCGGGCGGUUUGGGCCAUAGUUCAAGUAGCUUCAAAUUUAUACCCCCCACAUAGUGCACGUAACAUGUUUGGCAACUGGUUGAGGGGUAUUGAUAAACAAUUUUCUGCACAUAUUCUUGUGGGGGCGGCUGCCUUAUGCUGGGCAUUGUGGCUUACCAGGAAUGAUGUGGUUUUUAAUAAAAAAUAUGUUUCAUCUCUUAUACAGGUUAUUCAUGUAUGUACAGGAUGUCUCCGUACUUGGUCUAUCCUGCAGAGGCCGGAGGAUAGGGACCUAUUUAUGAUGGCGUCUACGCGGCUAGAGCGUACGACCAGGAAGGUUUUCUACCCUCAUGGAUGGCGGUGUUGA